rnacentral:rRNA from 1 species
CACGUAGGGGGCAAGCGUUGUCCGGAUUUAUUGGGCGUAAAGAGCUCGUAGGCGGCUUGGUAAGUCGGAUGUGAAAACUCCAGGCUCAACCUGGAGCCGCCAUCCGAUACUGCUAUGGCUUGAGUCCGGUAGAGGAGUGUGGAAUUCCCGGUGUAGCGGUGAAAUGCGCAGAUAUCGGGAGGAACACCAGUGGCGAAGGCGGCACUCUGGGCCGGUACUGACGCUGAGGAGCGAAAGCGUGGGGAGCAAACAGGAUUAGAAACCCCAGUAGUCC